rnacentral:rRNA from 1 species
UCGGAAGGCGUCGGCUACCAUGCAAGUCGAGCGGGGAUAGGGUGCUUGCACCUGAUUCCUAGCGGCGGACGGGUGAGUAAUGCUUAGGAAUCUGCCUAUUAGUGGGGGACAACGUUCCGAAAGGGACGCUAAUACCGCAUACGUCCUACGGGAGAAAGCAGGGGAUCUUCGGACCUUGCGCUAAUAGAUGAGCCUAAGUCGGAUUAGCUAGUUGGUGGGGUAAAGGCCUACCAAGGCGACGAUCUGUAGCGGGUCUGAGAGGAUGAUCCGCCACACUGGGACUGAGACACGGCCCAGACUCCUACGGGAGGCAGCAGUGGGGAAUAUUGGACAAUGGGGGGAACCCUGAUCCAGCCAUGCCGCGUGUGUGAAGAAGGCCUUUUGGUUGUAAAGCACUUUAAGCGAGGAGGAGGCUUACCUGGUUAAUACCUGGGAUAAGUGGACGUUACUCGCAGAAUAAGCACCGGCUAACUCUGUGCCAGCAGCCGCGGUAAUACAGAGGGUGCAAGCGUUAAUCGGAUUUACUGGGCGUAAAGCGCGCGUAUGUGGCUAAUUAAGUCAAAUGUGAAAUCCCCUAGGCUUAACUUGGGAAUUGCAUUCGAUACUGGUUAGCUAGAGUAUGGGAGAGGAUGGUAGAAUUCCAGGUGUAGCGGUGAAAUGCGUAGAGAUCUGGAGGAAUACCGAUGGCGAAGGCAGCCAUCUGGCCUAAUACUGACACUGAGGUGCGAAAGCAUGGGGAGCAAACAGGAUUAGAUACCCUGGUAGUCCAUGCCGUAAACGAUGUCUACUAGCCGUUGGGGCCCUUGAGGCUUUAGUGGCGCAGCUAACGCGAUAAGUAGACCGCCUGGGGAGUACGGUCGCAAGACUAAAACUCAAAUGAAUUGACGGGGGCCCGCACAAGCGGUGGAGCAUGUGGUUUAAUUCGAUGCAACGCGAAGAACC